rnacentral:tRNA from 1 species
ACCUCAGUAGCUCAGUUGGUAGAGCAGCGGACUGUUAAUCCGUGUGUCGUAGGUUCGAGCCCUACCUGGGGUGCCA